GACGAACGCUGGCGGCGUGCCUAAUACAUGCAAGUUGAGCGCUGAAGGUUGGUACUUGUACCGACUGGAUGAGCAGCGAACGGGUGAGUAACGCGUGGGGAAUCUGCCUUUGAGCGGGGGACAACAUUUGGAAACGAAUGCUAAUACCGCAUAAAAACUUUAAACACAAGUUUUAAGUUUGAAAGAUGCAAUUGCAUCACUCAAAGAUGAUCCCGCGUUGUAUUAGCUAGUUGGUGAGGUAAAGGCUCACCAAGGCGAUGAUACAUAGCCGACCUGAGAGGGUGAUCGGCCACAUUGGAACUGGACCACGGCCCAAACUCCUACGGGAGGCAGCAGUAGGGAAUCUUCGGCAAUGGACGAAAGUCUGACCGAGCAACGCCGCGUGAGUGAAGAAGGUUUUCGGAUCGUAAAACUCUGUUGGUAGAGAAGAACGUUGGUGAGAGUGGAAAGCUCAUCAAGUGACGGGAACUACCCAGAAAGGGACGGCUAACUACGU
rnacentral:rRNA from 1 species